GCCAUCAGCUAGUGGAUAUAUAAAUGCAAGCUUCAUUAAGAUAUCCGAAAACGUGUCUCAGUUUAUUGCAACACAAGGUCCGCUACCGCACACUUUUGAAGACUUCUGGGAAAUGAUAAUCCUGCAUCACUGUCCUGUGAUUGUGAUGCUUACCCAAUUGGUUGACAAUUACAAGACGGUCAAGUGUGGGGAUUAUUUUCAGGCAGAUGGUGGUCCUAGAAGAUUUGGCAAUAUAUGUAUUGUC